CAGUCGUAUUCUGAUUGAGGCCACGGAUGUAUAGAUUUGUUUUGGACAGCUGCUCCGCCUGUUGACCCUGCAUAGCGUUGUUACUGAGACUCGUGCUCAUUGUCCCACUUUGGCUGCCAGUGGCACUACUAGAGCUGCUGUUAGUAUUCGCCGGAGAUGAAGCUGUAGGCACCCGCUGUCCACCAUACUGCAAACACAUCAUUAAUAGUCAAAUAUUUUAAGAGUCAAAGACAGAUUUUGUUCGCGGAAGCACCACUUGAAGAGCAAGCUCGGUUAGGGACACCCUGUGUAUACAACUGCUCUCUCUCGCUUCGCUGACGCAUCAUCGGCGAUGCGAUAAAACCAGACGGAUGAUUCGGCCAUGGUUAGCCAUUGACGAGUCGCCCCUGGGCGGAAUAGGAGAGACGAGCCGAGCGAACGCGUGCGAAACGCACGGCCGUGUCGUGGAUCCGGCCACAGAGAAGAGAGCGACCGACCGACCGGAUGUCACUUCCUGCUCACCACGUCUGCGCCGCCGCGCACACGUUGUGUUGCAACGCGAACCAACUCCGAGUGUUUGCCCUUUUAUUCUUUUUUUCUCGAACUCGCCGUUAAAUACCGCACGGUCGGAAUCAUCCGGUAUUUAACGGUAUUCAUCGUUGAUAUAUAUAUUAUUUUUUUCAGAAGCUCCGGCAAGAGGAAUUUAAACGAGUUUUCCUUUCUUCGGUUCUUGAAUUCUUCGCAAAUAUUGCUGCACAGCAGGAGAGGUGACAUCUCGCACAUUAAGGCUCCUCGCCGCAGGAGUGUUAAAUUGUGAUUUUAGUUAUUUAAAGAUUGUCGAUUGACUGUCGAGGGAAAAUAAGUUUUCGGAGGACAUCAAUUUAAAUUGUGACUUCAAAGGCGAGAAAAUACACGCUGAAAAUUUUACGAGCCAUCUUUAUUUAAAGAUGCUCGAGAAUAAAAGAAUAUUUUGACGAAACGCAACUUUAGAUGACUUUAGUAUCUUUCGAAAAUAUCUCGAAACAAUAUUUUCUCAAUGUUUCAAUUAUUUACAGAUUGUCGAUAGACUGUCGAGGGAAAAAAAAGU